rnacentral:rRNA from 1 species
CAGCCGCCGCGGUAAUUCCGGCGGCCCGAGUGGCGGUCACUAUUAUUGGGCUUAAAGCGUCCGUAGCCGGGUUGGGAAGUCCUCCGGGAAAUCUGGCCGCUUAAAGGUCAGAAUGCCGGAGGAUACUCCCAGCCUAGGGAGCGGGCGAGGCCGAGGGUAUUCCCGGAGUAGGGGUGAAAUCCUAUAAUCCCGGGAGGACCACCUGUGGCGAAGGCGCUCGGCUGGAACGCGUCCGACGGUGAGGGACGAAGGCCAGGGGAGCAAACCGGAUUAGAUACCCGGGUAGUCCUGGCUGUAAACGAUGCGGACUUUGUGUCGGACAAGCUAUGAGCUUGUCCGGUGCCGGAGGGAAACCGUUAAGUCCGCCGCCUGGGGAGUACGGCCGCAAGGCUGAAACUUAAAGGAAUUGGCGGG